rnacentral:lncRNA from 1 species
UCGAGAACACUUCAUCUUUAAGAGCAGAACAUCCACCCUCUGGGUUUCAUGCUGUGCGGUCCUCCCUAUGACACCUGCUGGCUUGGCUUGCCCUGUUCAGUUUCCUGCAUCAUCUAUUCCAAUCCAACUUUGUGCUGAAGAUGUUUUUCCCCCACCCAGUCUACAGACUCAGAUGUGCCAAGAAAAUGGCUUUGUUCUCAUACAACUGAACUUACUUCCUCUUUUGAGUCAUGAAUUUUCCCUAAAGCUAGAAAUUCAACUGUACGUAAAGGUCUUUCCUUGUCCAUGUCUUUCUUUUGAGGACACAUUGAAAGCAAGUGACUGUUAGGGUAGAUGGAGUCCAGUUUGAGAUGUAUUUUGCCCCUUUGCAUUCUCUGACUUCUUCCCUCUAUUCUUUGGUUUAAAUAAAGGAG